rnacentral:rRNA from 1 species
GGGGAAUAUUGGACAAUGGGCGCAAGCCUGAUCCAGCCAUACCGCGUGUGUGAAGAAGGCUUUCGGGUUGUAAAGCACUUUAAGUAAGGAGGAAAAGAUUGUAGUUAAUACCUGCAAUCCGUGACGUUACUUACAGAAUAAGGACCGGCUAAUUCCGUGCCAGCAGCCGCGGUAAUACGGAAGGUCCAAGCGUUAAUCGGAAUUACUGGGCGUAAAGCGCGCGUAGGUGGUUUUUUAAGUUGGAUGUGAAAGCCCUGGGCUCAACCUAGGAACUGCAUCCAAAACUAGAUGACUAGAGUACGAAAGAGGGAAGUAGAAUUCACAGUGUAGCGGUGGAAUGCGUAGAUAUUGUGAAGAAUACCAAUGGCGAAGGCAGCUUCCUGGUUCUGUACUGACACUGAGGUGCGAAAGCGUGGGUAGCGAACAGG